GGUUUUUGGGGAUAGUUAAGCCCAGGCCUUAAGACAGUUUGAUAUUCAGUUUUGUUAUUUAGGUCUGGGUUAGGGAUACCGCCAGAGAGCAUCCAAACAUUUCUGUGGUUGGGAAGGCUAGUUAUCUGUGAGCAUUCCAGAUGAAAUAGCCUAUAAUGGGUUAUCACCUUUUGAUCUUACCUCAGAGAAGAUUGAAUUGGAUCUACCUAUCUGAUUUAGCAGAAUUAAACUGGAUUUGGAUGGAAGGGUAAUCAGCUAUUUAAUUUGCCAGUUGUUAGUUAGCAUUUCUUCUUGCUGUAUCUCAAGGAUUUACUUUGAAUAUUCUGUAUUUUCUCUUUCCUGCCCAUGAUGGGUUUUCCUUUUAAAAUGCUCAGCACAGGCUGGGUGUGGUGGCUCACUGAUCUGCCAGCCUUGGCUUCCCAAAGUGCUAGGAUUACAGGCAUGAGCCACUGCACUCAGCUAGAAGAAUUCUGAUAGGCUCUGAGCAUCCAUUGUUCCAGGUAUAACAAUUCUGACUUUUUCAGAUACUCUGAUGCUUUUAUGGUAUCCUGCUUGCUGCUGUCUUCUUUUGAAAUUGGAGUUCAAUCACUCUGCUUUUCUUUCUUAAUACUUGUCUGUUUCCUAGAUUUUACAUGCUUUUCCAUGAACACUAAUUUCCUGUAUGAAGAGGGAAUAUACAAAUGAUAGGAUGCUUUCCUGUAACUGAGAUGGCAGGGGGAAGGAGAGGACAGCAACUCAUACAGAAGGAAAUCAGCUUUUGUUGAGCACCCAGAAUUUACCAGAUCAGAUAGAGAGGACAGGUGUAGAAGAAAAUGAGCAUGUAUAAAGUGGAAUAGUGGGACAAUAAAGUACAAAUAUGGAAAAUUAAGUGGAAGGCUUUUAAUGCUGUUAGGGAACUUGGAUUGGGUUAGUAAGUUAUGAGACUGACAUUUUUGAUCCUUGAAAUGUCAUAAUCAGAGGUGAAUUAUAGGUUAUAUAAUCCAAUAGUUUAGAUAAUUAAUUAAAUUGGGAAAUAAGUCAUAGGACCAAUAAAGAAGUGUUUUGAGAGUUUCUCUUAAGGAAUGAAGACCUAACGAGAAUAGCGGCACCGCAGUAGAAGUGUUGCUAAAGUACAUUGGACAGAAAUAAGCAAUUGGAUAUUGGGAAAGAAAGGGAUGAAUAAAAGGUGACAUGAGAUGUUAAGCCUGGGUGAUGGAGAGAAUGUGAUCUCAGCAGGUUUGUGGGUGGAGGUAAAAAUAAGUUUUGUUCUAGAUCUCUUGCUUUUGAGGUGCUGGUAGGAUAUUCCUGUGGAGAUGUGUAGUAGAAUCCGAAGUGUGAAACUGGAACUUGGAGGGAGAGAUCAAGGCUGGAAAUAAAACAUGUAUGAGUAAGGAGAGUUAAAAAUAAAGAGAAAAAGAGAGCAUUUGUUAGCUGGAGUAAAAGGAAGGGUACAGGAAAAGCAUCAUAGAGAAGAGAGAAUUUGAUCUGACUUUAAAAGAUGCCGAGUCGGUAUAUGGCAUUCUGUUCACGAGCUUUCCUUGUUGAGGGGACAUCACAUUUACUAACUUGAGAGAUAAUACAUGGGAAGUGUUGGACAAAGGAUACUGCAUCCAGAAUGACCUUUCUAAACUACAAAAUCAUUUCCCCUCUUUCCUGCUUAACCCUCCCUCAGUGGCUUCUUAUCUUUCUUCAGAUAAAGGACUGACUCCUAAAUGUCUUCAUCAUCACCAAUUUGAACACACAUUGUGUCUCACACUCCUCCUCGUUCCUCACUCUUCUUCCCCAAGACUGGACAGAAUGUGAAGAAGAUAUGAUUUCCACCAGAUGGAGUACUCUUUAUACUUUUUUGGGGUCCUUUAUGGUUACUUUUUGUGGCCAUGGUCAGGUUCUUAUCCAUAAAAUAAUUAUUGAUAACUUCCUAAUGUAAAAUGAAAAAUAAUGAUAAAUCACAUACUUCCCUCAUUUUUACAGAAUUCCUUGCUUGCCUUAUCUCUUCAAGUGUUGACUGCAAGGUUCCUGUACACUUACUUGAGUUGGCCACUCCGGUCACUAUACCCUGAUCUCUGACACUUGGCCGUGGUAGCCUGGAGCAGCAUUGUUACUGGGCAUUGCUGUGAUUGGGUUACCCAGCUGUGCUGAUGUGGAAACCUCAGGGCUAUUUAUUGAUACUUGGUUUCCUAAAGGAAAGUUGAGGGAAUGUAUUUUAUGAGAGGGCUUUAUUUACACGAUUAAAGAGGUUUAUAAAAUGUGGAGAUGAAUAUAGGUGAAACAGAGAAAGAAUGCUGGUAUAGGAGGUGUUUUCGGCUGGGUUUGGUGGCUCAUACCCGUAAUCCCAGCACUUUGGGAGGCUGAGGCGGGUGGAUCACUUGAGUCCAGCCUGGGCGGCGUAGUGAGACCCAUCUCUACAAAAACUACAAAAAUUAGCUGGGCAUUGUGUUGCAUGCUUGUAGUCCUGGCUACUCAGGAGGCUGAGGUGAGAGGAUUGCUUGAGCCCAGGAAGCAGAGGUUGCAGUGAGCCAAGAUCGUGCCACUGCACUCCAGACUGGGCAAUAGAGUGAGACCCUAUCUCAGAAAACAAACAAAAAUCCCCAAAAAACCAGGAAGUGUUUUCUUAGGGUCUAGUUCCCAGGCGAAUGGUAUAUCCUGAUUCUAGGUUUAUAAAAAUAGUAUAUUAUUCAUAACAUUUGUCUAAAGUGACACAUUUACAUACAGUAUAUAGUAUUGAGUAAUUUCCAACUCUUUAAAAAUAAUGGAGACCCUUUCAUGUAGUAGUAACUAUGUUUUUAGUAUCUGUUGACUGAGAAAAUACGUAACAGCAAAAGCUACUAUAAAACUUUGAAAUAAGUUCUUGUAAAUGUAAAAAAAAUUCUCAUAUAUUUGGAAAGUAUACAUGUGGAAAUUAUGACUUAUAGAGUCUAUGGACACUUGAUUUCUUGCUUUAUGGAUACUCUCAGGAAGUUCUGGUCUCAACUUUGAGUAUCUCAUUGUCCUCUUACUUUAGAAUGUGGGGUAUGGGGGAAAACUUCUAUUUGAAAAUUUGAGCCAUAGCGGAAAUUUUGGAAUGACAGGGAAACACCUUCUCAGAAUCCUCUUACAAUAAAAUUUAUAUAUGUUAUGCCAGACAAUGUACUUUAUACUAAGACUGGACUUUUAAAUAGUCUCAUGGAUUAGAAGUCAGAUACAAUAAAUAAAUACUUUUUAAAAAUUAUAUUUUUAGGUAUAUGAGCAUUGUUGUUGGGACUACAGUGCUAUUUUAAAGUGAAAUUUAGUUGAUUUGCAUGUGAGUAUACACCUACAGGUCUCUGUUAUAGCCGUGACAUGUCUUCUGUUACUAUAAAUUACAUAACAAAUCCUUAUGGUUUCUUGGGUCACUUAUUUUAUUUAAAGACAAAAACAUCUUUCAGUACAUAUGUAAGACUUAAGGCAUUAUUGAAAAUAAGCCUGUGCUACAUGGUAGAAUCUAUUAAAAAAAAAAAAA
rnacentral:lncRNA from 1 species